rnacentral:rRNA from 1 species
CGUCAGCUCGUGUCGUGAGAUGUGGGUUAAGUCCCGCAACGAGCGCAACCCCUGCAUUCAGUUGCCAUCGGGUAAUGCCGGGCACUCUGGAAGGACUGCCAUCGACAAGAUGGAGGGAAGUGGGGAUGACGUCGAGUCAUCAUGGCCCUUAUGUCCAGGGCGACACACGUGCUACAAUGGCCGGCACAACGGGAAGCGAGUUCGCGAGGACGAGCGGAUCCCUUAAAGCCGGUCGCAGUUCGGAUUGAAGUCUGCAACUCGACUUCAUGAAGCUGGAAUCGCUAGUAAUCGUGGAUCAGCCAAGCCGCGGUGAAUACGUUCCCGGGCCUU